CAGCCGCCGCGGUAAUACGGAGGGAGCUAGCGUUGUUCGGAAUUACUGGGCGUAAAGCGCACGUAGGCGGCUUUGUAAGUUAGAGGUGAAAGCCCGGGGCUCAACUCCGGAACUGCCUUUAAGACUGCAUCGCUUGAAUCAUGGAGAGGCGAGUGGAAUCCGAGUGUAGAGGUGAAAUCCGUAGAUAUUCGGAAGAACACCAGUGGCGAAGGCGGCUCACUGGACGACUGUUGACGCUGAGGUGCGAAAGCGUGGGGAGCAAACAGGAUUAGAUACCCCCGUAGUCCCUGUCUCUUAUACC
rnacentral:rRNA from 1 species